AAAUAAGACACACAGAAAACAAAUAGCAAAAUGACAGAUGUAAAUCCCACCUUAUAAUUAUAUUAAAUGUAAAGAGACUAAACAAUCAUAUGGCAAAGAGUAGAAAUGUGGAUAUAAAAAAUAUCCAACACUAUUAUGUCUACAACGCACUUUAUAUUCAAAGACACAAAUAAGUUGAAAGGGAAAGGAUAGAAAAGACAUGUCAUGCAAAUAGGAACAAAAGAGUGUUGGGGUCGCUGUACCAAUGUAGGUUAUACACAGUAAACUUAGAGACAGAAACUGUUACUACAAAGAGCAGCAUUUUAUAAUGAUAAAGCGUGGAUUCAUCAGGAAGACAUAACAUAAACAUGUUAUAAACACGCAUGCAGGUAACGGCAGAGUCCCAAAACACAUGAAGCAAGAACUGACAGAACUGGAGGGAGACAUCAAUCAAUAACAACAGUUGGAGAAUUCAAUACCCUGCUCUGAAUAAUGGAUAGAACAAUUAGGCAGAAGACCAACAAAGAAAGAGGAUAUUUGAACAACGUGAUAAGCCAAUUUGACCUAAUAAAUAUCUUUAUCUGUGAAACACCCUAGCUUUUAGCCUGGGUAAGGAGCUGGAGAGAUGUGAAAAUGUGGAAAGCAAGCCUAAGUCGCAGUGUGGCCUAUGCCUGAGAGCCAUCUUCAGUGCCCCCUUGUGGCUGUAUCUGGGAACCACAGACAGAAUCAUGGAACUGACCAUCUUCAGUCUCAAAGUGCUGCCCUCACCACUACACCCAGGGGCAGGUGGUCUUCGGGGGAAAGGCGGUUCCAGUUCCUUCUCCCAAGGUAACAACUCCCAUCCCAAGGCAAUGUUCACAGAACCUAUCAGAGUCCCCCCUGCCCUAUGCACAGCUUAAGACCAGGGUGGUCUCAGCUCUGAUCAGGCCACUGAGGGCAUCUGUCUGAGAUUUGGGACCCAGUUAUUGUCCCUGUUCUUCUUAGGCAGAUGGCGGAGUUCCCCAGUACACAGAAGGUGCUCACUCUUCACAAAAAGCAGUGCUUGAGAAUAACAGCCUACCUUGGUGGAGUAGCUUCGUUAGGGCCAGGGCUUGACUUGAAGCCAGAGACUGAGGUUGCAGUCCAGCCUUGGGUCAGCCUCAGGCUGGGGCUGGGGUGAUGCUGAGCCAGUGAGGAAGUCAAUCCUGCGAACAACUGCAGGAACGGCCUUGGGAGUGGAUCCUUCCUCAGCCCGGCUCCAAGACAACUGCAGCCCUGUGAGAAACCCUGAGUGGAGGACCAAGCCAAGCCUCAAAUCGUGACUUGGAACUGGGAGACAACAGAUGCUGUUGGAAGCCACUGAGCUCUGAAGUAGUUUGUUACACAGUGACAGAAUCUAGGAUCUGGGGAAGGUAAACUGAGGCCACCAGUAAGCAUGUGCUCCAGGCCAAGGCUGAGUCUGUGCUGCAUCCAUGUCAUCAGCCACCCAAGAAAAACCAGUUACUCCACCUAGCUCAUGGUGGCGGCAUCCUCCCUGCAAUGGUGCAUGGGGGGCAGUCCUUUCCCCUGCAGGGUGUCAUUGCCACCCCCAUCCUCAUCCUGGAGGCCAGUCCAGGCUCCGAUAUGAGUGACUAGGGGUGAGGUAGGGGUGGCAGAAGGGAGAUCAAACUGGAGCAUUCCAGAUGCCUACUACUGCCCUCACACAACGGGGCAACUGUGCUCUCCAACUCCUCCCCUUGGCAGAGAAACUGGUCCUGCAGUUUCAGGACUAGACGAGCGUGGGGUAGUGGCAAUAAAGGGGCUUGUAUGAGAAGUG
rnacentral:lncRNA from 10 species